rnacentral:lncRNA from 1 species
GCUCCGCCUCCCGGGUUCAUGCCAUUCUCCUGCCUCAGCCUUCCGAGUAGCUAGGAUUACAGGCAUGUGCCACCACACCUGGCUAAUUUUGUAUUUUUGGUAGAGACAGGGUUUCUCUAUGUUGGUCAAGCUGGUCUGGAACUCCCGACCUCAGGUCAUCUGCCCACCUCAGCCUCCCAAAGUGCUGGGAUUACAGGGGUGAGCCACCGCACCCAGCGGGAUUCUGGCUUCUUCAUUUGAAGCCAGAAGUCACUAGAAAACAGAGAGUCCUUAGGUUGAGGCAGUCAAAGCACAGGUGUUUGAGAAGGGAGAAGGGAGGGAGAGGUGGAGAAAGCUAAGAUUUCAGACAUGGAGCAAAUUUGGCCAUUGGUGUGGGCUACUGGAGCCAUGGUAUCUGAGGAAAGUGCUAGGAGACUAGAGAGGUUUACACUGGGGGAAAAGAUGGCAGCAAGCACAUCAGCUAUAUCCAACUGUUUCAACUGUGGUUAUGUGCAAGAGAAAUUAGAUGUGUCUGUAGGAACUUAGUGGGGAAAACUAGGGCCAAUCAUGGGAGAUGAACCCUGUGAGGCAGAUAUUGCCCCUUAAUAGGUGUGCCUUCCACACCUAGAUCCAGGGGUUCGGGUGCAAAGUGACAAAUUGAGUGUAGAGACAGAUUAUCACCUCCCUUGUUCUAGCUUACAUACUUCUAUUAAUGCUGUGCAGCUGGAUAAUGCUUUGCUAUAUUAACUUAUAGAUUUUUUUUCUGUCUGUAUUAUCCCCUUCCUUUCCCAUUUGAACAUGCUCCCAGCCUCACUUAAUUUCACUGUUGACUCACCGUGCAUGUGGUACUUGAAGUCCUCACGGCUUUUUCAAAUGCACCUUGUUUAGCUUUCUCUCUCCAUCCUGUUUACUUGGGCCACAAGAGUUUGUGGGAGGGAAAGUAACUCCUCACUCCAGAAUUUAAGAUAAGGGAAAUAAGUUUGCCCCUGAGCAGUAAACUAAGCCAUCAACAUUUAAUGUGUCAGAACAGAGUCACCUUGAACGGAUGGAAUUCCCAGGCCAGUGAGACUUGGCUGCAGCCUGAUUGAAGUUGUUAGGAAAUUAGAAUGUGUCCAUCAGACAGCAGGCUGGGGAGGUCCUGGCUGGAUACCUUGCAUUUUUCCCUCCGGCAUCACUCUCCUUCCUCUUCCGCCUGUUCUGGCCCAGAUAAGAUGACCUGGCCUCAUGCUUUCCUGUAUUAGUCCGUUUCCACGCUGCUGAUAAAGACAUACCUGAGACUGGGCAAUUUACAAAAGAGGUUUAUUGGACUUACAGUUCCAUAUGGCUGGGAGGCCUCACAAUCAUGGCAGA